rnacentral:rRNA from 1 species
AGUGAACGCUGGCGGUAGGCCUAACACAUGCAAGUCGAACGGCAGCACAGUAAGAGCUUGCUCUUACGGGUGGCGAGUGGCGGACGGGUGAGGAAUACAUCGGAAUCUACUUUUUCGUGGGGGAUAACGUAGGGAAACUUACGCUAAUACCGCAUACGACCUACGGGUGAAAGCAGGGGAUCUUCGGACCUUGCGCGAUUGAAUGAGCCGAUGUCAGAUUAGCUAGUUGGCGGGGCAAAGGCCCACCAAGGCGACGAUCCGUAGCUGGUCUGAGAGGAUGAUCAGCCACACUGGAACUGAGACACGGUCCAGACUCCUACGGGAGGCAGCAGUGGGGAAUAUUGGACAAUGGGCGCAAGCCUGAUCCAGCCAUACCGCGUGGGUGAAGAAGGCCUUCGGGUUGUAAAGCCCUUUUGUUGGGAAAGAAAAGCAGCAGGUUAAUACCCCGCUGUUCUGACGGUACCCAAAGAAUAAGCACCGGCUAACUUCGUG